AUUGAACGCUGGCGGCAGGCCUAACACAUGCAAGUCGAACGAGUGGCGGACGGGUGAGUAAUGUCUGGGAAACUGACUGUUGGAGGGGGAUAACUACUGGAAACGGUAGCUAAUACCGCAUACCAUCAGAUGUGCCCAGAUGGGAUUAGCUAGUAGGUGGGGUAACGGCUCACCUAGGCAACGAUCCCUAGCUGGUCUGAGAGGAUGACCAGCCACACUGGAACUGAGACACGGUCCAGACUCCUUCGGGAGGCAGCAGUGGGGAAUAUUGCACAAUGGGCGCAAGCCUGAUGCAGCCAUGUCGCGGGUGUGAAGAAGGCCUUCGGGUUGUAAAGUACUUUCAGCGGGGAGGCGUUACCCGCAGAAGAAGCACCGGCUAACUCCGUGCCAGCAGCCGCGGUAAUUC
rnacentral:rRNA from 1 species